CCAUUCCAGACACUGAUGCCAGACAGUUAUUUAUCCCAUUGGUUCUCACACAGAUGGCCCUGCCUUCGGCAACGAGCAAUAUAUCCUGAGAGUAAACAUUAUGGAACUAGAGUGAUUUGGCAGCGCCGGCACGUGGAGGACGCUCAGAGUCUCUAGCAGUCACCUCGUCACCGGAUCACUUCUGCAGCCACAUCCCCUAAAGGCCCAUAACUUCCUUUAAGGACUAAUCCUUACAGGGUUUUGACCUGAACGUGAGCACAUGGAUUUACGUCAGCCGUUUUCUGCCUUUUCUGAUGGUUUUUCCUGAAGAGGUUUAAAAACCAGGAAACAGAACAUUUGAACUUUAACAAGCUGAUGGAUAUGGAAUAACUGACUUGAAGUACAGGACCUUCCAGGUACUGCAAAUCUUUUCUAAUCCCGUUUUAUUUCACCCAGAUUCCCAAUAAGAAUUACAUCUUUCCAUUCACAUAAAGCCCAAAAUUGCCUUCUUGUAAUAGGACAAUUUUUAAGUAAGACACAGUAUACACCCUGCAUGAAAUAGCAGU